CAGGGGAGCAGAGCUGCGCUGCAAGGUUUCCCCGGUGACCUAUGGUGCUGGACCUGUGGUUGUUUGUGCUGAAACUGGCAGUGGGGUUUCCGGUGAUACCCCUGGUGUCUAUCGUGUCCUAGCAGGUGUAGUCAUGCCAGGAAGUGGACCAGGAGGCAGCAGCAGCAGGCCAGCAAGAGAGCUGGGUGGUGAUACAUAUACCUGCUAAGAGUAGAGGCAGUACAGAGGCGGGCCUGCCCCGGAGAUGGACACUUAAUUAAUGGCGCUCUGAGGAUAAGACCCUUCUCCUCAGCAAACCAGUGGUUAAAUCAGCAGCCAUUCGGAGGCAGCCAGAGAGACUGGCCAUUGUGACUGGUACCAGAGAAAAGAUCUGUGAUAAAACACCUUGCACCACCCUGUAUCAUCACUUACACUGCAACUGUAGCACUGAUAAAGUCCCAGUUUACAGGAUUUUUACGCUAUAUAGCCACUACAUCUUGACAGCAUAGUUGGAGCAGUUACAGGCAAGGAGCUACAAAGUAUCAAAUGUAAAGACUGUUUGUCUACAACUUAUGGAGGAAAUCUCUGGCCAUCACAACUCCGAGGAACAUAUAGAAGAGUAAGCGGCUGGGCUACUGUGUCUUAACUGCUGCUGCGUUGUCUACAACGUAUGGAGGAAAUCUCUGGCCAUCACAACUCCGAGGAACAUAUAGAAGAGUAAGCGGCUGGGCUACUGUGUCUUAACUGCU